rnacentral:siRNA from 1 species
AUCGUUUGACUUGACACGUGGUAC